rnacentral:snRNA from 1 species
AGCUUUGCGCAGAGGCAGUGCCAUAGCCAAUGAGGUACUACCGAGGCGUGACUAUUGCUACUUGAAAACCUUUUUCAGAGCUAGAGUAAGAAACUAUGAUUAUUCAAAAAUGAUAAUUAUUUCUGUAUAUAUAUAUAUAUA